rnacentral:rRNA from 1 species
UGGGGAAUAUUGCACAAUGGGCGCAAGCCUGAUGCAGCCAUGCCGCGUGUGUGAAGAAGGCCUUCGGGUUGUAAAGCACUUUCAGCGAGGAGGAAGGUGGUGAACUUAAUACGUUCAUCAAUUGACGUUACUCGCAGAAGAAGCACCGGCUAACUCCGUGCCAGCAGCCGCGGUAAUACGGAGGGUGCAAGCGUUAAUCGGAAUUACUGGGCGUAAAGCGCACGCAGGCGGUUUGUUAAGUCAGAUGUGAAAUCCCCGGGCUCAACCUGGGAACUGCAUUUGAAACUGGCAAGCUAGAGUCUCGUAGAGGGGGGUAGAAUUCCAGGUGUAGCGGUGAAAUGCGUAGAGAUCUGGAGGAAUACCGGUGGCGAAGGCGGCCCCCUGGACGAAGACUGACGCUCAGGUGCGAAAGCGUGGGGAGCAAAACAGGAUUAGAUACCCUGGUAGUCCACGCUGUAAACGAUGUCGAUUUUGGAGGUUGUGCCCUUGAGGCGUGGCUUCCGGAGCUAACGCGUUAAAUCGACCGCCUGGGGAGUACGGCCGCAAGGUUAAAACUCAAAGGAAUUG